rnacentral:lncRNA from 1 species
AGGAUGUUUAUAGACUUGUACCAUGGUGAAAAGGGAUGGGGAAGUGAAAGGUUACAAUGAUAUUUUAUAUUAUUGUGGUGUUUUUGAAAGCACGGAUGGAGCAUCUUAGGUAGGGAUGGAGGAUUAUGAGGUAGUGGUGGGUCCUUUGGAGUCUCGAAGGAUGAGGUGCGGAGAUGUUUGGAUAAGCAUGGCCGAAAUGACCAAAAGAGAUGGGAGGGCGACGAGGG